GCACAAGCGGUGGAUGAUGUGGUUUAAUUCGAUGCAACGCGAAAAACCUUACCCACCUUUGACAUGUACGGAACUCGCCAGAGAUGGCUUGGUGCUCGAAAGAGAACCGUAACACAGGUGCUGCAUGGCUGUCGUCAGCUCGUGUCGUGAGAUGUUGGGUUAAGUCCCGCAACGAGCGCAACCCUUGUCAUUAGUUGCUACAUUUAGUUGGGCACUCUAAUGAGACUGCCGGUGACAAGCCGGAGGAAGGUGGGGAUGACGUCAAGUCCUCAUGGCCCUUAUAGGUGGGGCUACACACGUCAUACAAUGGCUGGUACAGAGGGUUGCCAACCCGCGAGGGGGAGCUAAUCCCAUAAAACCAGUCGUAGUCCGGAUCGCAGUCUGCAACUCGACUGCGUGAAGUCGGAAUCGCUAGUAAUCGCGGAUCAGAAUGUCGCGGUGAAUACGUUCCCGGGUCUU
rnacentral:rRNA from 1 species